CUACGGGUUGCUCCAGUGAGGAAUAUUGCACAAUGGAGGAAACUCUGAUGCAGCAACGCCGCGUGGAGGAUGACGCAUUUCGGUGUGUAAACUCCUUUUAUAUGUCAAGAAAAUGACGGUAGCAUAUGAAUAAGCACCGGCUAACUCCGUGCCAGCAGCCGCGGUAAUACGGAGGGUGCAAGCGUUACUCGGAAUCACUGGGCGUAAAGGACGCGUAGGCGGGAUAUCAAGUCAGGUGUGAAAUCCUACAGCUUAACUGUAGAACUGCACUUGAAACUGGUAACCUAGAGUAUGGGAGGGGGAGAUGGAAUUAGUGGUGUAGGGGUAAAAUCCGUAGAUAUCACUAGGAAUACCUAAAGCGAAGGCGAUCUCCUGGAACAUAACUGACGCUAAGGCGUGAAAGCGUGGGGAGCAAACAGGAUUAGAUACCCCAGUAGUC
rnacentral:rRNA from 1 species